rnacentral:rRNA from 1 species
GAUGAACGCUGGCGGCGUGCCUAACACAUGCAAGUCGAACGGAGAUUACGGACGGAAGUUUUCGGAUGGAAGCCUGUAAUUCUUAGUGGCGGACGGGUGAGUAACGCGUGGGCAACCUGCCCUAUACAGGGGGAUAGCAGCUGGAAACGGCUGGUAAGACCGCAUAAGUCGGUUAAAUCGCAUGAUUUGAUCGGGAAAUGAGCAAUCAGGUAUAGGAUGGGCCCGCGUCCGAUUAGCCAGUUGGCAGGGUAAAAGCCUACCAAAGCGACGAUCGGUAGCCGGACUGAGAGGUCGGACGGCCACAUUGGGACUGAGACACGGCCCAAACUCCUACGGGAGGCAGCAGUGGGGGAUAUUGCACAAUGGAGGAAACUCUGAUGCAGCGACGCCGCGUGAGUGAAGAAGUAUUUCGGUAAGUAAAGCUCUAUCAGCAGGGAAGAUGAUGACGGUACCUGACUAAGAAGCCCCGGCUAACUACGUG